rnacentral:rRNA from 1 species
CAGUAGCCGCGGUAAUACGGAGGGUGCGAGCGUUAAUCGGAAUUACUGGGCGUAAAGGGUGCGUAGGUGGUUUGAUAAGUUAUCUGUGAAAUCCCUGGGCUUAACCUGGGCAGGUCAGAUAAGACUGUUGGACUCGAGUAUAGGAGAGGGUAGUGGAAUUUCCGGUGUAGCAGUGAAAUGCGUAGAUAUGCGGAGGAACACCGAUGGCGAAGGCAGCCCCUUGGGCCAACACUGACGCUCAUGCACGAAAGCGUGGGGAGCAAACAGGAUUAGAUACCCCUGUAGUCCCUGUCUCUUAUAC